rnacentral:rRNA from 1 species
UAAACUCCUGUUGUUGAGGAAGAUAAUGACGGUACUCAACAAGGAAGUGACGGCUAACUACGUGCCAGCAGCCGCGGUAAAACGUAGGUCACAAGCGUUGUCCGGAAUUACUGGGUGUAAAGGGAGCGCAGGCGGGAGAACAAGUUGGAAGUGAAAUCCAUGGGCUCAACCCAUGAACUGCUUUCAAAACUGUUUUUCUUGAGUAGUGCAGAGGUAGGCGGAAUUCCCGGUGUAGCGGUGGAAUGCGUAGAUAUCGGGAGGAACACCAGUGGCGAAGGCGGCCUACUGGGCACCAACUGACGCUGAGGCUCGAAAGUGUGGGUAGCAAACAGGAUUAGAUACCCUGGUAGUCCACACCGUAAACGAUGAUUACUAGGUGUUGGAGGAUUGACCCCUUCAGUGCCGCAGUUAACACAAUAAGUAAUCCACCUGGGGAGUACGACCGCAAGGUUGAAACUCAAAGGAAUUGACGGGGGCCCGCACAAGCAGUGGAGUAUGUGGUUUAAUUCGACGCAACGCGAAGAACCUUACCAAGUCUUGACAUCCCUUGACGAUGCUGGAAACAGUAUUUCUCUUCGGAGCAAGGAGACAGGUGGUGCAUGGUUGUCGUCAGCUCGUGUCGUGAGAUGUUGGGUUAAGUCCCGCAACGAGCGCAACCCUUAUGGUCAGUUACUACGCAAGAGGACUCUGGCCGGACUGCCGUUGACAAA